GACUGAAAUUCAAGCAGGAACUGAUG
rnacentral:piRNA from 1 species